rnacentral:rRNA from 1 species
UACGUAGGGGGCAAGCGUUGUUCGGAAUUACUGGGCGUAAAGGGCGCGUAGGCGGCCUGUUAAGUCGAACGUGAAAUCCCCGGGCUCAACCCGGGAACUGCGUCCGAUACUGGCAGGCUUGAAUCCGGGAGAGGGAUGCGGAAUUCCAGGUGUAGCGGUGAAAUGCGUAGAUAUCUGGAGGAACACCGGUGGCGAAGGCGGCAUCCUGGACCGGCAUUGACGCUGAGGCGCGAAAGCUAGGGGAGCAAACGGG